rnacentral:rRNA from 1 species
UACGUAGGGGGCAAGCGUUGUCCGGAAUCAUUGGGCGUAAAGAGCGUGUAGGCGGCUCGGUAAGUCCGCUGUGAAAGUCCAGGGCUCAACCCUGGAAAGCCGGUGGAAACUGUCGAGCUCGAGUCCGGAAGAGGCGAGUGGAAUUCCUGGUGUAGCGGUGAAAUGCGCAGAUAUCAGGAGGAACACCAAUGGCGAAGGCAGCUCGCUGGGACGGUACUGACACUGAGACGCGAAAGCGUGGGGAGCAAACAGG